rnacentral:lncRNA from 1 species
UAUGAGCAGUAAAAGUUCAAUACAGUGAGGUUAGUUUACUUUUAAACUGGAAAAUAGUUUGGAUAGAAACGUAGGCUGUAUUCCCCUUCUGUAGGAAUUCUUGAAGACACUUGGAAUCUUGUUCUUGUGUAAUAAAUCAGUGCCAGUGAGUUAAUUAAGAAACAACAAUGGGCAGGGAGAAAUCCUUAACCACCAUACUGUAGCUUACAGCAUUUAGUUCUCGAGUAUGCUUUGCAAAAAACAGCAUAUAGAGUUUGAGGAGGUCCAUAGCCUGUCUUAUCAUUUGACUGGAGUCUGGAUUAUUUAUGGCAUGACAUUUGCAAAACUAUGAUUUUGUUGUGACAUUAGACCAAUACACCUUGAAAACAUCUUUUCGGUGAUCUUUGGAGGAAAUUCUUGGCCUCUGGUAAAUGCUGAUGCUUCACCUUACUAGAUUCCUAAGGAUACUAAGAUAUCCAAAUUGAUUGUGUUUUGCUUGCUUCCUUAGUUGAAAUGUUCUGAACAAGCAUUGGAUCAAUUCUGCCAUCUCGUUUCUCACAUUUUGUUUAUCCCUUAAAAUUUAAAUUUUGCUUGUAUUGGCAUGAUAAUUUAACAGUGCACCAGGAAGGGGCUCCACAGGAUGGCCACGAGGUGGUGGCCGUGGUCAAGGUAAAGGCCGCAAUGAGCCGAUAUCUGCUGCAGAGCUUGAUCCUGAUCUGGAGAAGUACCAUUCAGAGGUGAUGCAAAUUAAUUGAAAUCUCUUACCUGGAUUUUAUGUGCUCCAGUUGCUUGCUCAAUGCUGCUCAAUAGUUUUCUGCUACUCUGUAUGGAAGGGAAACCACUCUUAAGAUUAGUACUUCACUGUUUUAUGGGGCUUAGAUUUUCUUAUUGUUACUGCUCCUUUUGAUUUCAGCAUGCUACUUGGAUUAAGUGGACAUCCGGUGACUGCCCUCAAGGAGCAGUCCAUUUGGCUGGUUUAGUUUUUUACUCUCUUUCACUAAUGCUGCUCAGAUUCCAUCCUGCAUUGGUAGUGCAAGCUGUUCAAGUCAGCUGCAGAAGGGAAAUUGCAGUGCUUGAGCAUAUGCAAUCCUAGUUUCACAUUCUGAAUUAUUGCACAGGCCGAACUGGUUGAAGGUAUGUGUCUUAUUUCUUAAUUAUCUAUCUGCCUAAUGCUGAAUAAUGUUACUGAAUUAUCCACUUGAUAAAUGAUUGUCGCCCUGUAAAUCUGUUAUUUUUUCCUUUUUGUUUCUCUUGAGCACUGAAACUUGCUUUAACCACAAUAAUAUUAAUAUGCCAUGCAGUUGCAGCCUAAAAAAAAUGUAUUGCAUUGUUUUGCAGGUGGUUGGUGACAGAUGUCUACCCCUAGUGUUUUCGGUUCUUUUUGAGGCUGCUACUUAGUUGAUGGGAUGUCAGGUUCCUUCACCCAGCUAAACCAAAAAUUUUCUUUCGGCUGCUUCUGAUUUGUCUUCCAAGUAGUAUCAGUAUCCAUGAAUAUUGAAAAUACUUAUGAUGGUGCAUCAGAUGUAUUUAGAAUUGCGCAUCAACUGGAAGCAGGUUGAUGCUUGUGGACUGAGGCAGAGCAUAGGGUGCCAAAAGUGUCUAAACCAAAAAUUAUCUGGGGCUGCUGUUGAUUUCUGGUAGCGUUAAUGCCUGAAAAUAUGCGUGAUGGUACAUCAUAUAUCAUUAGAAUUGUGCAUCAACUGAAAGCAGGUUGGUGCUUCGUAUGGUGCCUGAAUCAAAAAAUAUAUGUGGGCUGCUGUGGAUUUCCAGCUGUAUCUGUGCCCAUGAAUUUUGGGAACAUGCAUGAUCGUGCAUCGGGUAGCAUUAGAAUUGUGUCAACUGCAAGCAGGCUGAUGCUUGCGGUCUCGGUUCGUGGAGUGAGGCUGAGCUUACGAUGUCAGAGGUGCAUUACCAUGUUGGUUUUGCUUGCUAAGGAAUUAACUCAGUGGUAUCAUACCUGCAUGGUUUUGCUUGCUUUGAGACUCUGUAUGAAGCAGUUUAUAAGGUAUUUGCUGUACCGUUUCAUUGACGGUGCUAUCAUGAGAAAUGGUGCUCAUGAUGAGACAAAAUGUUUAAUUACUCGUAUUGGUUUUACUCGACCGGUUGCAAGAACCGUGUAUAUUGGAGGAAAUGUAAUUAAUCAUAUCAGGUCUCUAAACCCAGGAGUGAUUCUUUGCAGUUCAGUGUAACUAAUUUUUUUCAUUUUGGUUUUUUUUCUUCCUUUUUUUUUUCUUUGGAGACCUGAAGCCUAUCUAGUUUGCCUCCACGGUCCUAAGGCAAAACAAACCGAAUUUUGGACUGUACAUUUACCAGUAAGCUUUGGAUGUAUAUAAGUAUCUGGUUGACUCAUGAAAUCAAAUGGAGCAAAGGCUAGCUAUUGUGAUAUUUCAGAAAAUAAGGCUCUACGGAACGUUUCACUUGAGCUGAUCUCUCAGUUUAGCAUGUGAUAUCUCGUAAAACUACUUACUGCUGCAUUAUCAGUUAGCAUUGACCGCCUAUGUCAAGAAAAUCAGAAUACCUAACUCACAAUAAACAAGUGUACGAUCAACCUUUAUCGUGCUUGGCAGAAUAAAGAGUACCAUAUUACAAGCAAAAAGCAAGAUACAACAUUGAGUAAUGCUGAUACCCUCCCAACGUAAUUCCAACUCUCCAAGUCAGUAUAUCAUAAAUGCCGCUAUGCAUUCUUAGAUCUUCUUAUGCUUUCCCAACUAGAAAUAAUCAACCUCAAUAUAUAGUAUAUAACAGUUCUGACACACGUCAUAAUGAAAUUCCAGCAAGAUGAGGGCCAACACCAAGGAUACAGCAGCCGGAAAAAAAGGCUAAUAACAUGCCGUGGGUACUGUCCAACCUGUCACCCAAAAAAAGCCACUAAAUACUAUGGGUAAACAAAUACCAACAAGAAAAAAGAAAAAAAACAAUACUAAAAGAUUCUAUCAUGCAGAUUUUUAACCAUACCUCCACAAAAAGCAAACAUAUUCCAACCUUGCAUAUACAUUAAUGGUCAAGUUGAGCUAACAUUUGAAGUAACUUCUAUAAAGUUACAUCCCUUUUGUAUUGAAUGAUAGGAUCUCUCACCGAUGAUAUAAACUACUGAAUAUAAUCUACUAUUUCUAAAUUGCUUCCACAUCAAUCAGACUCUUAAGCUAUACAACAAGCAAUCAAAAAUUAGGCAGUUUAAAUAACUCAAAAUAAUAACAUAUUUUUAACCAUUUGAUAUAUAAGCUAGAAUUUUUUUUGUUGAUGUGUAAGUGGCUUAGAGAUGAUAGAUUGCACCCAAUUUGAGAUCCUCAUCAUCAUUAGAACUACACCAGGUAUAAUUUGAACCUGACCUCUUUCUCUCUCUAUAGAGAGAGUUACAAAUAGAGAGAGAACACUACAACUAUUAUCCAAGCAAACAAAAAAACUACUGACCAUGUAGUGAACAAGAACCUUUCAGAAAGCCCCUCCCAGAGCAUAUCACACCUGCUUGCCCCAUUCAUAGAAUUUCUGGCAGAAGACAUUUGGAUUGUUGCAACAGCCGCGCAUAAUCCACAAUGCGCCAUUAUUUUAAUCCAAAAAUAAAGAGAGGAGUUUAAUUUGGUGCCUUCUGGUUCAUCCUAUAUCUUCAUGAAACCGUUCUGUUCUGCCUUCUUGUAUCUUGAAGUCAGUCAACUUGUAAAAGGGCUGCAGAGAAUCGAAGAGACAGAAGGGAAGUAGGGUACAGUUGAGGGGCACAAACAUUAUAAUCCUAGAUCCCAAUGAGUCCAAAGAAUCUUGUAUCCCUAAAUUUUCUGAGACUCCAAAAUCCACAUUAGCUAGAUGUUUAGGCCAUCGCAGCAAUGUGUGGAAAGAUGUGAUAUAGGCAUUUUGCUUCUCGUAUCUUGAAGUCAGUCAAGCUGAAGGGCUGCAGAGAAUCAAAGGGAAAAAGGGAAGUAGGGUACAGUUGAGGGGCACAAACAUCAUAAUCCUAGAUCCCAUGAGUCCACUCAGAGACUCGUGUCCCUAAAUUAUCUGAGACUCCAGAAUCCAAAUUAGCUACUUGUUUUGGCCAUUCCCAGCAAUGUGGGCAAUGAUGUGAUAUAGGCAUCCAACUAAGCCACACAAGAACUAGGCAUCCAACUAGGUCACUCAAAGAACAAUGUAUGCAACCAAGAGACCACCACACAAGAAACUUGCAAAAAUGCACGUUGAGAACAUUUUUGGUGAUAUCGAAUUGGAAGAUAGAAGCAUGUUGAGAACAUUUUUGGUGAUAUCGAAAUGGAAGAUAGAAGCAAACGAGAAGCAUUAGCGAUUUAUUUAUUGCAAGAUUGCUAAUAUACUCACUAACUCAAGACUGCUAAUUGUUAGCAAGACCAUGAGCUUGGCAGAAACAUUUGACCCCCCACAAGCAUCCACCUAUUAUGCGAAACAUAAUUUUUGUAUAUACCAUGAUUAUGACAAUUCACUUCACUGCAAGCGUUCAAAUACUAUGUAUGUGCGCAGGUGUUUUAAUUUUUAUCAGGGAAACAAAUUGAGGGCUCUAAAUUCAUUGCAAGCAUCUGGUUUUCAUGCAUGUGCACAAACAUUCACUGAGUAACUGACACGGUGAAUCUUUCCAGCAAGGAGUUAGGUCACUGACACUGUUUAAAUGGAAAUGUCAAAUCUCUAUCAUGUUUCCAAUCAUCAUUCAAUUCUCAAAGUGCAUUCUAAAUAAUCGAUGAAUAGAGAAGUACCAAUGUCCUCUUUACAUGUUUCCAGACACGACAAGGUCAAUGUUCCAUUAAAUUGCGAUCCAUAUGGAAUUUCAAUCACCUACUCACCAGAUGAACUACUUAUGGUUUUUAAUCAAAUGCCAGCGGUCAUGAUAGUCAACACAAAUCUAUCACGGGUAACACAAAGAACAGCAAAAUCCAAGGCAGAUGCUAGUCCACUAAAACCCUUUCCAUUCUCUCAUAAAUUGAGAUCAAACAAACUUCCAGAAUUGAUUCCAUUAUGUUGGAUUGCUUAACUACCAAUGCACCCAAUGUCGGCGGAACUAGUACCGAGCAUCGUAUCGGUUGCCUGACGGGACUAGUCGGUACGGGCCUAUGCCGUGCCAUAUCGGGCCCAUACCGACACAAUAGAGGACAAGGAAGAGAGAGAGAGAAGGGGAGAGAGGAAGGGAGACCGGCGGAGGGCCGGCGAAGGCCGACGGCCCAAGUUGGAGGCGGAAGAAACCUUCGCAGCCAAAAAAUAGGGCAGGUCACCUGUUUUGUUCGAAACAGGGGUCGCCCCAUUUUUUUUAAUUUUGCAAUGUUUAAGUGAAGCCGGCAAGCGAACAAAGGACCCGCCUUGUUUCCUGGCCACAGAGCCUAGAGAAGCGUCCUCCGUGCGGCUCGCUGACCGGUCUCCACUUCCCUCUCUCUUCCUUCUUCUUCAUCUCCUUCCCUCCCCCGCUCGCUCUCUUUUUCUCUCUUUCCUUCUUCUUCUCGCCCUCCGGCAACGGAUUUCAUUUCCGUUCCUAGAACCGUGCUGGUCAGCCGUCGAGGCGGCUCGUAACGGCCGAAACCAUCCGGUUUAGGACGGUUCCGCCAACCCUGAAUGCACCCCUUUGAUUAACAUUACAUUCACUAUCAUAAAUUGCUACACACAACAAAUUUUUUACAAGAUAGUACCAAAAAUGCUGGCUGCUUGCUUUAGUUAUCAAAGUUCAUGGAAUAAAUGGUCAAUAUCAAUGUUAUAACAUAGGAAAGGAUGCAGAUCAUUCACAAAAUGAUAGGCACAAAUAUUGUAAUGACACGAAAUCAUGCCAAAACAAGCUAUAAAGACCCGCUGGUGGAUGAUUAAACUACGUAUUAUUUUAUAGAUUCUUCAGCAUCUAUCAUGUAAAUCUCCUAUUUGUGUUCAGAAAAGGUACAAGGAGACUUACAGGGAAAAGAAAAUCCAGUAUAUCCCAGGCUGCAUGGCGUACAGCCCUUGUUGGAUACAUAGGACCCCCAGGAGAUGUGAAGCUGUAGAGGCAUGACUUCAAUCUUGUGCUUGUACUCAUCCUCAGUUCUAAUCCUAUAAAAUUUAGUUGUCAUUGAAUUCAAAAAAGUAAAUAUUACUGAAAGAGUGAGCUGAUUUAACUUCAAAUUAAAUAAAGGUUGCUUUAAAUUCAAAAAUCAAUUUUUUUGAUUAUGACAUAAGUAGUGUAUCAAAUCUUGGGCUAAUUACAACCUUGUAGGGCACUCAUGUGAGAAAGGUAAUGCAGAAGCACUGGCUCCACUUUUAGCUUCUGAAGCUGCAAUGUAAACAAUGCAGGUACAAUUGAUUUUAUAAUUAGCACCAGAAAAUCAUAUGGCUAUGGCUGCUCAUCUAGCAAAAGCAUAUACCUGAUCUGUAAGCUCAAUAACAAAUAUGUCUGCUGGACCACCAACAAAAAAAGAAUUUGGAAAAGUAGGAAACUGCUGUAGAAGAAUUUCAAGAAAGUCAUCUGCAUGUUACAACAACAUGACGGAACAUCACAGGAUGGACGCAGUAGUUUAAUUCAGAGGGUGAUGGAAAGCUAAUAAUUGCACACCUAAGUUGUAAAAAAAUAAGAAUCUGGAUAUGAGUAAAAACAGGUCUCGACGGGCCUGAAAGAAAUGAUAAAACAAGGCAAAUCAGAAACUGAACCGCAACUUGCAAGCUUACAGGACAAUAUGAAAGAUGAUCAUAUAAAAAUACUAUAUGAGUUGGAAAAAGAAACCAGAACCUGCAAAGAAAUUUUAUUGCUCCGUUCUGGGACCAGUGCAACCUCUUCAAGAAGAUACUGGUUAAAGAAUGGAUUCACUGGAUAAGUUCACACAAUAAUGACACAAUCGAAAAAAGGGGAACAAAGAAUUAAAAAAAAAGUUGUGACAGGUAAUAAUAUAUAUCUUACACAGAACAAGGAUAAAAAUCGCCUCGUAUUUGUUUGUAUAUCAAUCCUGCCAACAGACAUGUAAUGAAAUUAUCUUUUUAACUCCUCUUCCAAAAAGCCAUAAGACAGAACAAACUAAUAUAAGCAAAGCAAUUUUAAUUUAUGAAGAGUUACUUCAAUCGUAGUUUCAGAUUAGGUGAUCAGUGAACCAUUCGAACUUGUUUGGUCAUGAAAGUUGGACCAAGUUCAAAUUAAAGAAGUUGUGAACCAAAUUGCUUGGUUAUGACUAGGUCCAUUCCAAGAUAAAAGAUCAAACAUGUUUCAUACUAUGCAUGAACAACUUCAUCAAAGGACCAGAUGAAUAGUAACAAAAUUAAUUGAUCAGUAAAAUAAAUUUCCACAAAAUUUUGCAGACCUCCUCAAUAAAUUACUCUCAUGGAGCCCAUUGCAAAAAUCAUGAGUACUGUCAGUACAGUCAUGUACGAUGAAAUAGGUUGGAAUGACUCAGAAGUGUAUCACUCACCAGUAGAUAUCUUACUGAACCAAUCUGUCUUGACCUGUAUGCACCAUUAUAUAUUAAUUGGAUGCAUGAUGGAAUGGACUCAUGCAUAAAAAAUCUUGCUUGUUUUGACCAUCUGAAACAACAUUUUCAUAUGUUCUGAAGCUGUCCCUAUUCCUUCUAUACCUACUUUCUUUUUGGAUUUUUACUGUGCCAAUGAAACUGAAUUAUAGUACUAACAGAUGUUCAAGCAGAAGAAUACGCAUUCUUCCUUUAACUCAUGUUUGUUGGAUUUGGUGAAAACUCCACUACAGUUUGUUACAUUUUCUUUCAAUCCAUAUUUCUACAUGCUAAAAGAAGAAUCCCUGCACACUUGGCUGGAUUUGUGAACUCAAUUGGUUUAUUUGAUGGAUGUGUUAAUAUUUAGGGAUCAACCUUCACAUAGACCAAAACUUUUAUUUAAAAUAUUAAACUCUCAACAUCAGAUUUUAUUCUGUUGAAACAAUGAGAAAUAUUUUAUUUUCGUAGAAGUUAUAAUCACUUUCAAGAGAUCAUGCAUCACCUUACUAACAAAUGUACAUCUCAGUCUGUUAAGUAUUUCAAACAAGUAUUAUACUUUGGGUAGUAAAUUCCUAUGCAUAUUUUAUUAACAGAAGUAAUUCAAGAAAGCAUUAUCAUAAAUAAACAAGUUGCUACAACUAGGCAAAAGGUGCUCUCCCCUCUCUUGGAGGUUGUUCAAUAUUGACGUCCAUCAGUCACCAUUCUUGGGUGCAUGCUCAUGGGCACCAUCAUGCCUUUCAACAUCAACUGUCGCCAUAUCCUUCACUUGUAGGAGGAGGAUUAUGGGUAACUUCCAUUUAUUUCCGGUGCAGCAAUUGCUCAUACGUACAUACAUCCUUCACUUGUAGAUGGAGGAUUAUGGGUAACUUCCAUUUAUUUCCUGCUGUAACUUCCAUUUAUUUCCGGUGCAGCAAUUGCUCAUACAUAUAUGUAUGUAUCCAUGCAUGCAUACAUAUACAUCUACCUAUAUGCGUGUGUGUGUGUGUGUGUGUAGUGAGACAGAGAGAAAGAGAGAGGACACCUUUCAUGUCUCCCAUUUCUACCAUUUCUGUAAGUAGAAUAAAUACCAAAUUAGGACAUAUCUGAAAUUUCUUCUUUUAUAACAGUCAAAACACAGUAAGAGGGUAUAAGAAGGGGGAAAAUAAGGUUUAGGAUAGAACAAGGCAAAAAGUACAAAGAGAGCGGACAUAAGAGCUGAGGGAACGCAUCCAUGAAGAAGCCACUUCAUCCAACACAAUCCACAAAUUCUAAAGAAUUCGAUGUCUCAGAAUCUAAUCCUAAUAGAACCUAGAUCUAGUGCAGGACACGUAGACGAUAAUCAUACAUAAAUAGGACUUAGGAACCCACUAGAGAUCAUUUUGGUUUGUUUUGAGAAAAAAAUGGUCCUGAAAAUUAGUAUGAAAAUCUUUCUGAAACCAAAUGAAAAAAUUAAACAAUAACAUUUCUUUUUCUUUUUUUUUUUAAUUUUAAACUCGACCAUCAUAUUCUUAAAUACCACGUAGUGCAUUGCUGAUUGCCAACUUAGUAUAGCACAAAAGGUAGACAGAUUAUAUGCAUGCUUAUCUUAGCAUGACAGUGUGCAUUUGGUGAGUCUUUUGCACUUUUAUAAACUUCACUUUAUUCCCCAAUAGAAUUGGGUUCCUGGUCCAGUAUUUGCUCUUCUCAAAUUCCUAACAUAUUAAUCAUAGGUCGUGUAUCUUAAGCAGUUAAAUCAAAGUAAUCAAAGGAUAGUCACUAUAAAAAAAAGGACUUCUGACACAUACCAGAAAACAUUUCUAGCACCCUGAACAAGUGCAGAUCCAUAACGUAGCAAGGCUUCAGUAUUUUCAAUAGGAACUUCAAACAACUGCAAAAAGUAAGCCAAUGUAAAGCAGCUAGGUCAACUAAAAAUAUAUAUGCACAGAAAAUAAUCUUUUGAUGACAUACAAUUAUAAAAUACUAAACUUAGAUGAUCUAAAGAGCUUCAACUUGUUUUUCAAAUUAAGGAUGCUAUAGAAAAUAUAUGUUGUAUUUGGUUUUCUUACAAACAAAAUUAAGCUAGCAUCAUGUAACCCCUCUAUGCUGCUCUAACUGAACCGAGUAUGUCAACAUGCCAAUUGUUAUUUUUAUAUACUUUGUUCUUCAUAUUUUUAUGAACUUGGGCCCCAUUUGGCAUUGUUGUAGGCAAUAGAGCUCUUGUUUGUAGAGCUUUGGGUAGUAGAGUUUUCACUACUAGAGCUUUUAAUAAAAAGUUGCUUACUGUUUGGUCACUACAGGGCUUUAACAUCUAUUUGGAAACCAAACUGAGAAAGUGUUUUAAUAUCAAAAAAUAAUGGCAAUAGAUAUAUAUAAUGCCUUCAAUUGUCUAAUUGUUUCUACUAUCCAAACUGUUAAAGCAUUCUUAAUUUAUAAAUUAUUUAAUUUGAUAUUUAACUAAAUAAUAUAAUUAGCAAUAAAUUUUUAAAAUUUUAUUAUAAAAGAUAACAAUACUUUUAUUAUAUGAUUAUAUUAUUAUAUAAUAAUAAUAUUGUCAUUAUAAUAUAAUAAAAUGAUAUUGUUAUUUUAGUACAUUAUAAUAGUACUAUGUUGUAAUAUUAUUAUAGUAAAUGACUAUUAUAACAGCAUAAUGAUGCCGGCUACAAGAAAAGAUCUCAUAAUAGUCAAUAUGGGUCCUCAUUGCCCAUCAAUGCAUGGUGUUCUUCGACUGAUCGUUACUCUCGAUAUAAAAGAAAGAAAAAUUCAUGGACCAACCGCAUCCACCCUGUAGGAACUACGAGAUCACCCGAAGGACGCCUUCAGCAUCUAGGGGUCACGAACAGACCAUAGACUCUGUCCAAUAAGUGGAACGCAUUAGCUAUCCACUCUCUAGUUGGGCAGUACGGGUCGGAAAAGGGCGGUCACUUGUUCUUAAAACCAGCAUUCUUAAGACCAAAGAGUCGAGCGGAAAAAAGGAGAGCUCUCCGUUCUUGGUUCUCCUAUAGCUGAAUUCUCUGGAACCACCGACGCAUUUAAACAUGCAUUUCAUCACACACAGACAUGCACAUACAUGACAUGUAGAUAGUUUUUAGUUACAUUAUACUUGAUAGAUUGGUUCUUUCAACACAAUUUCGGGUAGAUGAUUCGAAAACCACCAACUGUCAACGAACUUGAUUCAAUAAGUAUAGGAUUAGAAAGUAAUUUUUAAAUAUUAAUAAAAAAUUAACAUUGAUUAGGAUAGCUAGCUCUUAGAAUUUACAAAUACAAAACAAAUAAAUCAGAACCCUUUGAUCGAUGAGAAAAGGAAGUAGCACAUGGAAUUAGAUUUAGAAUUCAUGUAUUAGCCAAUUUUAUAUUAUAUUUGAUAUCGAAAUAAAGUCACUUGAGAGAUAAUAGGAACUCUAUUUUUUUCCUUCUACCUGACUUCUCCUCACCUUCCCAAAUUUCUUAAAUAAAAUCCAAAAAUCUUGUCUCCUUGGAUACAAAAUCCCACUCAUGGAGGCCUCCUAACUUGCAUGUUGUCUAGAGUCUUAAUAAUCAAAUACUCCCAGAUUAAAAUGCGCCAGCUAAAAUUGAACUCCGAAUUGUGUUGAAUUGUGUUGUGAAUUUGGUACAAAUUGUACUGAUUUGCAUGUCGCCAGCAUAACCAGCGAAUCAGCUAAGCUUGGAUUUUAGAAUGGAAAAAGUUAAGUGACAGAAUACAAAUGACUUCAAACCCAUCUCACCACUCACUACAGCAAGCCUUAUCAGGAAAAUAGUCAUGAUCUUCAUAAAGAUUCCUUAUCUUUUUAAUAGAUUACAACUUAAAAAAAAAAACUUAGGCUUCGAUAGGUGCUAGCUAAAUCUUGAAAUACACAUUAGCCUUUCAAGAGAGCUUCUUGGUGAUUCUAGCAUAUAUCUGGGUCUUAUAAAUGCACCUUAUACUAUGGCAUAUCAUAGCAUGAGAUUUUUCUUUUAUCUCUCACAAAUUUUCUGUUAAUAUAUAGUUGGCUUUAUUCUCCAAUUAGUAUCUACGCAAGCUUCAAAACAUACUUUGAUUCCAUGACUGUUGGAUGUAAUUGUGAAUAACGAUACCACAAGCAAUCAUAACCACAUCAAGAUUUCAAAAAUUAAAUUGAGAGGACAUCUGAAUUUGUACAUGCUUGCCACUUCCAGAGGGCUAUAGAAAAGCUUCAAAAAGAAACUAACAUUACAGCAUGAUAAUACUAAAUAAUGGUAUGCAAUAUGCAAUAUGCAACACAAACUACAAAUAGGUAAGUAACAGCCAACCCAAAAAGAGCAUGACAAAUUAGUUUUUUAUCUUCACAAUGUAUACAAACUGGCUACAAGGACUAGAAUAGUCAUCCAGAUAAGUGGUCAUACCUUUUUAACAGCAUCUUAAAAAUAUAUUGUAUGAGCUUACUGCAAUAAAGGACUUACUGUGAUAAAGAAUUUAUAAAAAUGCAAAACAAACCCAAGCAAAGGCUUUCUACAAAUGCAAGACAUACCCACUUGUGGAAUAGAAGGGCAAAUAUAUGUGACACAAAAGAAUGGCUCCAGAGUUGAACAAUCAAAUCAAGAAUGUGCUUCCCAUCUUCAGGUACCCUAACAUAGUGAUCAGCAAGAACUUCAUAAAAGCACAGGCAGUUAUCCAUUCUAUCAUCUGCUCUGGCAAUUCCAUCUUCAUUCCUACUGACAAUUAUGUCUGUUUUCAAUGACAUUAUGGAAAAAGUAAAACAUUUGCACAAUUCUAGAUGCAUUGUGUAUUCAAAAAAAAGAAUGGCACUUUGAUUCAAAAUGGUUUUCUAUGAAAGUAUCCAUGUUAGAAUUGAGCUUGCAUGAGCAAAUUUGUGCAGACAUGAAGAUGCACAUAAGGACAAGCUAACAACACUUUUCAAACCCCAGGAAUAUAGCAUAUCUAAUGCACAGUUGCCAUUGGAAGUGCAUACAGGAAUAUGAAUCCAUGUGGACGUGAACAUGCACAUAAGGACAAACAAACAACACUUUUCAAACCCCAGGAAUAUAACGUCUAAUGCAUGCUUGCCAUUGGAAGUGCAUACAAGAACAUGAAUCCAAGAACAAAGCUGAUGUUCUACAUAAGAUGCUGCUACCAUAAUAAUUUAGUUUAAGCCCUCUUUUCGCAUCUGAUCAAUAAGUCUGAUGAAUUAUCAUCAAGUCCUACCACAAUGCAUUUAUUGUCUUCAUUAUAUAAAUGCUUAAACAAUUUUAUUUUCUGUGUCUUGCUUUUUGAUUUCUUAUGCAUGCAAUCUUGCUUGUCGAUUUCUCAUGCAUGUUCCCUAGAGUAUCAGGAGUCCAAUAUCAGUAAAAGAGUUCUGAGAUUCUGUUUUUGACAUAAAGAAAGGGUUACUUGCCAGAGUGAGGUACACGAUCUUGUGGGUUGCAUGUGGCUUGCAUAGCUUCAGGAUGUCUGACUCUUAACAUAUUGACAAUAGUGGCUGAUAAUGUAUUUGAACCUUUCUUGUCAAAGUUUAACAGAUGCUCGAUUCCCAUGUUUUGAGAACAUUCGCUAUCUAUAUCUCCAGUGUUCAUAAAACAGGAUGAACUUGCAAUUUAUUUUCUAAACAAAAGGAUCCGGUUCACAAUCUUCAUUACUUGAGCCAGAUAAGAAACACUUUAAUCGUCACCAAAGUCAGAUUUAGAACCACCUUAACUAAGGAAGUGUUUAGAAAGCUGGUGCCAUUUCAAGAUUCCAGGAAGAUUCUGAAGUGGGUACUCUACCCUAGAUAGAAGAUUCCAAGUAAUAAGUUCACAAUUGAAACAACAAUUUAUUUAGCUUUAUGGUAACAAAGUCUUGAUGCUUUAUCUUCCUAACAGCUAUUUGUUUUCCAGAUUGUGGCAAGAAACUAGGUUUUGCAUUUGAUAGUCUGAUGAUUUGUAUUGUAAAUGAUUAAUGAUGUAAUUAAAGACCCUCUUGUACAUACUGUUUUGUGCUUGAGCAGGCUCCAACUAGCUUUAUUUCUCCUUUAACCUUGUUUUUUGCAUAGACAUUUCUGUUUCCGUAAAUCACUUGCUAAAGAAAUUGAGAUAGAUUGAUAUUUAAACCUUACAAAAUGGAACCCGCCUUGGAAAAAUAUGCAGGACCCAGUCAACAAACAAGAGCAAACAAGGUACAUGAACAAAAGCAUAAGCAUUAGCAUUAUAAGCGAUGAACCUGCAUUACCUCCCAGGUGGUUCAUGAAACUCAUAACACCUAGGCUGCCUCUGCCUAGAUUACCACUUAUUUAUAUGACUAAGAUCCAAAGCUUAUGCUGCUAGCUUAGGAACAGGCGCAACACCCAUGGGGUAACCAAUUAGUUGAUAACAACCUUCAGUUAUAUGUACAUAAAGUAUAUAUUGUGCGUGUGUGAUGCAAUUCUUCUUUUUUUUUUUGAGGGUCUGAUAUGAUGUAUCACUCACAUUAGCAUCCAUGCGUCAUUGAUUGAAAGCUAGAAAAUUUUCAUGAACCAUAUCAUAGCCCAUAAAGCUAAUCUUGUAUAAAAUGCAGCCUUGCUAUAGAUAAGAAAUGGUCUGCUAGUUCAUUUAAAGGUCCCCUUUUACAAAGUACCUAUAUGAAAAGCUAACUCAUACCAAAGUCAACUUUCACAGAGCAAUGCUUUCAGAAAUUAUGUUAUGGUACAUUACAAGAAUUUGGACCAGCAACAACGUGCAGACCAAAUUAAUUGCUCUCCAUCAUAGAAAGAAAUAAUAAGUUGCCAUCCAAUUCCAAAGUGCCAGAACUCCACCAACGUCUCCUACUCCUUCAUGCAUCUGUGCAUAUUCCCAUGUCCCAUGGCCAUCAUGCAUUAUAUUCAACUACGUGGUUAUCAUGUUUUCCAGCAUUCUAACGAGAUUUGCUAGGUUAUAAUAUUCUUUUACGACCUCUAUUACCUGCAUGCUUUCUAUUAUGGUUCAUUUAACUUAUAGGUUCUCUGGGUUUUCAAGAUAGAUGGUCUUGCUUGCUAGUCAAUGUCCAUACUUGCUAUUCCUAAGACAAAAAUGGUAAAGAUAUGUUUUAAUGAUCUGAAUAAGGUAGUUAAAUGCUUACCCUUUUAGCAUGCAGUCAUAACCUCUGGAAAAGUUAUGCAGUAGACUAAAGUCUAAAAGCUCAUAAGUCCUUAUUUGAUUUAUUUAAAUUUGUUUUCUUAACAUUGGAUUCAUAUUGACAAUGAUGCAUCGAAGAUAUAUAAUUCGAUCGUGAAUCGGGUUGGACCCUCCAAAAAGAAAAUGAAAGUAAAGGUUUUAUUUUUUUGAUAGAUUGUUUCGAUAUAUCUUAGGGCACUCGUUUUCUUCUCAUUCGAGUGCAAAUCUAAUCAUCUAGAUUUGAGAUGAAAAGCAGUUCCCCAUUAGGGGCAAAUGGUUAUCCAUUAAGCGGAGAAAAUGGUAUUAUAAGAAGCAAAAUGGUUAUACCCCUAUUCUUGAAAGAAUGGACUAACAGGGUCAGCUACCUAGCCAACUUAUCUUAAUGUAUGUAUUUAAUUUAUUCGGAGCUAAUAGAGCAGGAUCCACUUUUUGGGGAAUAUGAGUCGAAGCCAUAACAAAAAUAUUUCUAGUGGAACAUCUUUCACAGUCCCUAGAGAGAUAGUUCUCUAAUAGACUCAAGAUCCUCUGUUUUCGAUUAUCUAAUAAAUCAUUUAAUGAAAGUAGAUUAUCAUAACUAAAAAAGAGAAAAAGCUUUGGAGCAACCCGUUCUGUGCACAUGAAAAGUUCAUCAGGCUCAUCACUGCUGAUUUGGCAACAACAUAACAACCUCCUUGUUUGGCAACAAGAGUUGCACCGAUCCCCUCUUGCCACAUAGCAAGUGGAUUGUUUGUGUGCACAUAAUGUCCACCCAUAGCAUUACUCCCAAAAACAUAUCCUUCGACCUAGGUUCAUCUAUGAACUAUCACUGGACAAGAACAACGUGGAAAAGCAUAGGACUUCCACCAACUCUUGAGAAGUUCCCUGAUAAUCCAAGUUGUUGACAUCUUCUUCCAAUGGGAUUUCUACAAGGCCAUAGCGGUAACUUUUGGACAAGAAAUUCAGUAGACUAAGGUCUAAGAGCUCAUAUCUAAAAAGAUAUCUGACAAACUAGGCUCCUCUGAAAACUAGCACUAGACAAGAACAUGAUGGAAAAGCAUAUAACAAAAGAUAAGUCCAUAAGCUGGUUUAUCAAGGCUUCACCUAAGCAGUUUCAUCGAAGAAAUUGGAGUCCAAGUAAAGACAAAAAAUCAUAAACACAACGAUGCAGCAUAUCUUGUCCCCAUCCAAUCAAAGUUUAAUUACUCUAAAUUCCGUUGGUUAUAUUUCUUGAGAUCAAGAAGUAAAGGUGGAGGAAAAAAGAAACCACUUGAAAAUAAGAAACCAUUCAGAUUUCAGAAGUAUUCGCAUGGAGCAUUAAAACAUGCUACAAGCUACAAAGCCGUACCUCGAGCUCGAUCAUCUAUCUCCAAAGCUAUAUCAGCAAGCAACUGUUGUAACAGGUCAGCUCUCUGCGACGGAUAGUUCAACGCCUGCAACGACAAAGACAGAAACCACACACCUCACCAUCAGCUUCUUCAUCUAUAUAGAAGUUUAAACGGUUAUAUCAAGAAUAGAUGCGAUAGAAAAAGUGCAAGCAGAGCCCAUCUCUCGCAACAGAGAGAAACAAAGAAACCAUCGACUCAGGGUUUCAAGAAUCGAAAUUCUUAUCAUCGGAAACCAAAACACGAAAAUGGCAAACAGGGCUUCCAGUCAGAAAUAAGAUCUCACCCGCUGAAGCUUUCUCUCGAUCUCUUGGGCAAGCGCGGUAAGGUAAGCCGAUCUCCGAUUCGCCGAACCCUGGCUCAUUCUCGCGGACGCCCGAAUGGAAGAGCAUUUGAGAAGCGACAGCGAACCCUAACCCUAAUUUCCCACUGCCUCUCGCCUUCGCGGUCGGUGGUCCAAGGCAGGACUCGAAAGAAAUCGCACGAGAAAAGCUGAAAGAAUUCGAAACCUUAGCUAGAUUUGGGGGAAAAGAGAGAGGCGGUCUCCGGACUUUCUCGAAGCGGUUCGGAGAAGGAAGUCCAUCAACCGAUUCUUGGAUUCGGUUACAANNNNNNNNNNNNNNNNNNNNNNNNNNNNNNNNNNNNNNNNNNNNNNNNNNNNNNNNNNNNNAAAAUAACCAAAGAAUUUCAAUAAAAUAACAAAUAUGCCCCAUUCCCCGUACAUAGGCUACCCUAGUGGUCUCCAGAGUCGAGGCUUGCGAGGGAAGGAAGGCAUUUAUUCCGCGGAAGUGGCGGGGCCGCGGGGGAAUUCUGUUCUUCCGGAACGUCACCGUUAUGGUGCCGUGACUGACACGUGUCUCUGAUAGGCGGGCCGUGAGUGACACGUGCCUCGGCGGGGGGCAGCCGUCGUGCACACAAGCGAGAGAAUGACCACGCGUCAUAUUCGAAACAGAGACGUUUUUUGCCUGAUCCAGAUGAUGAAGUCAUGAUGAUGGGUGGGUUAGCAUUUUAGUGGACCCGGUUUCGGACAUCGAGCCAGAAUUGCAUUUUGUUUCUAUUUCUGAGCUGCUAUUCGAAAAAAUAAGCACAGCAGACAUGCAUGCGCCUUCCAUCUAUCUUAUCUUUACACUUUAUAAUAUAUAUAUAUAUAUAUAUUCGAAAAUAAAAAAGAGAAAAAUACAUCAUUAACAACGUAUCAAUCUUAUUUUAGACAGAUUGAUCGCAAAUAAAAUCCUGAGCUCUCCAAAUUGCGUUGAAUUUGAGGGUGUCUCAAUAACGGCUAUACAUAUAUUUUGCGAGUAUCACCCUAACUAGUGGUAACAAGCUAGUGGCAUAUGAAAUAUAAAACUUGCAUGACUAUCACCAGCUCCAAAAAUUUAAGGGAGCAUUUGGUAUGGGAUGAUCAUCCCAGAAUCAAGGGUGAUAUGUAUGGAGGUGAUGAGAUCACCGCGUUUGGUUGCACCAUGGUGAAUCUAUAUAGCGGUGAUCCUAAAUCACUUUCGCUCCUCAAAUCACCGUACAACCCAGUGAUGGAAUGCCCGUUCUUGAGGUCCGAAAACCAAGAUCAUCCCAUGACAGUGAUCCUGGGUUGAAAGUUAAAGACAAAAAUACCCCUCAAUUUAGCAAAAAAAUUGAUAUAUUAAUAUACCAUCAAUAUAUUAUGUCAAUGUUAUAUAUAUAAAUAAUAUUAUAUUGAUAUUAUAUAUUAUAUUAAUGAUAUAUGUUAUAUUAUAAUAUAUUACUAAUCAUAUUAUUAUCAUAUUAUUAUUGAAGGAUAAUUUUAAAUUAUAGCGAAAAUAUAUUAUUAUAUUUUAUAUUUAUAUAAUGAAAAUGAUUAAUAUAUUACUCCUAUUUACCUUAUUUUUUAAUCAAAAUAAUUAUUAGUAUUAAAAAAUCUAUUAUAAGUAUAAAUAAAAAUAUUAAUUCUAUAUUUAAAAAUAACAUAUUUUUAUAAGAUUAAUAAUUUAUAGGAAUAAUAAAUAUAUUUUUAUAGAAUAUAUUAAUAAUUAAUAUAUUGAUAAAUAUAUUAAUAUUUUAUUACAAUAUAUUUUAUAUGAUUAAUAAAUAUAUGAUAAGGGCUAGUAAAAGUAGAAUAUGUGACAAAAUUAUGGAGCUAUAAUAUGAAUUAGCAUAUUGACUUACAUUUUUAAAUCAUGAGAAUUAAAAACACAUAAAAAAUCCAUCUAAGAUAUAUGAGGGGUAUUUGUGGUAUUAUGUAGUCGGUGAUCUUAAAUCUCCAUGCUAUACCAAAUAAGUUACUCAUGGAUACCCGAAGAUUUUUAAUCACUGGAUCAUAGCCUACCAAAUACAUUGAUCUUAGAUCACCGGAAUCAAAUUACCCCAGCAUUCGGAUCACCGGAGAUCUUAGAUCACCGUGGUGAUCCUGUUGAGGUUACCAAAUGCCCCUUAAGGAACAUAAGAGAUGCCAUCUGGCACUUUUCUCUUCGUGGUCAUGUACUUAUGCAGCCUUCUGCGGCUGUCCGGCUUUUAUGAAGAUUGACAAAAUCCAUCACAUAUGCGACAUCAACAGCUCAUUGUCCCUCUUCCAAUGUGUUUUCCUUCCAAUUUGUCUCCAACAACCUAGAGUUAGCUAAACAAAUUAAAAUGCACAACUAAUUAAUCUCUGGAACAAAGAUUUAUGCACACAAAUAUGCCAAGUCAGAGCAUUGCCCAGAAUUUGGUCCAAUCAUGAUCUAGCCUGAUUUGGGGUAGCGGAACGCUUAAAAGUAUAAAACCAAAUGCACUAUGAAGAUCAGAACUAAGGGGUAAAAAACAAUCAAAUAUAAUUCACCUGUAUCCAUUUCCGUAUUCGAUCCGGAUCCGAUUUUCCUAAAUAAAAAGUAUCUGAAACAUCUGAGUUAAAACAAAGCAUCCAAAUACCAAACCACAAUGCUUCAUCUAAUUUAUAUGAGUCAUGCUUUUUAUUUAUUGAAAAGUAUUUAGAUUAUUAAAUAACUAUUUCAUGUAUAUUAUUAUAUUUUAACCAUUAUUUGCUAAAAACAUCAUUUUCCUUUGAUAGAACUGAAAAACUAAUUUUAGAUAUUUUCAACACUUUUUUAUCUAAAAAUGUUUAUAAAUAUAAGUAACUUCAAUGCACUACUACAUUUAUUUAUAAUUUUUUUACAUGCUUUCUAAAAAACUAGAUAAUUCAUGAUUAUGUUUUUGUGGUAUUUUUUUUAUUUAUGCUAUAAUUAAAGACUAAUGACAAUUUUGAUACAAAAAAUUAUUACUAUUUUUUAUAUUAUAUUUUUACAUUAAAUAAUUUAAUUUUUUAACUUGAACUCUUGGCCAGGACGAUCUCCAUAUGAAUUUUAAUAACCAUGUCUGAAUCUUUAAAUUAUAUUACCAUCCUCUAUGAUUAUGUAAUUGAUAUUAAUUUUCAUCGUCGCAUUAAACUAAAAAUUCGAUUUAUAUCCAAAUAAUAUCUCACUUAUAUCCAUAUUUGGAUAAAACAAUGAAUAUAACUAAUAUUCGACUUAUAUCUAUACUUUGUCUAAAUAAACAUGAAUAUACAUGAAUAUACUUAAUAUCUAAUUUAUAUCCUCAAUCAUUUAAAAUAAAUAUAAAUAUUAAUUUUGAUAUUUAUUUAAUAUCCCCUCCAUAUUUAUAUUUUUAAAAAUAAAAAUAUAAAUAUGACAUAUCAAUAUCCAACUCAUUUUUAACUCAGACCAUUCUAGCACAACGUCUGCACAGAGCACCUUAAUUUUGGAUUGCACCCAGACCAUUCUAGCACAACGCGUGCACCCACAGCACCUUAAUUUUGGAUAUAAUCCAAUUAACUUCAGAGUGGAUUUGGUCUAACCAUGACAAAGGCAGACCCUAAGGCGCAUCUCCAAAAUCUAAACCUAAUACCAAUUGAAUUUACAGGUCAAGAACCGGAUGGUUGACCCAUUCGCACCUUAAUUUCCAAUUAUGGUCAAGCCUUGGCUUGACCUUGACUGCCGUUCCUGUUCGUAUCAUGCAGACACAAACGAUGCUGGCCAAACCUGUAAGUACACACGAAGUAUCGCUGUCAACUUGAAAGCAGGUUUGAAAUAACCCUUCCUAUUCAAACAAGAGCCCAAUAAAGUAAAUAAAAGCACACGAACUUAUUAUUUUAUAUGGAGCAAAACUUUUCAAUACACGAUUUUACAACACUGGGAAAUCCUACAAUGACACAAAACAAUACAAACAAAAUGAAGAGAAGUAACAUAAACUAACCAAAAUUCUUUGACACACCUCAAACAUUUACACUUAGGAUCUAGAACAAUGGAUCAACAAUAGAUAAGCUGCCUCCAAAUAGUAAUUACAAUCAAACAUUAUACAGGAUCAGAGCUUGCUCUCAUGAUGUUGGUCUUCUACUGAAACACAAAAUUUUUACGACCCAAGGAUGCCUCACAAAAAAACUGCAUGAACCUCGGUACUACAGAUACAAUUACAAAAAUUAAUGGCCAAAACGUUGUUUCCCAUGUGGUGGAAUCCCAUCUUCAAAUGCUGGAGGCUAUUAUCUGUAACCAGAGAAAUGAAUAGCCGCUUGCCUAUGAAUGGUUUACCUCUAUAUCAUGAGCGAUAGAUUACAGAUCCAUUGGAGAAUAGUUUUACCUGAAUGGUGAACAAGAAAACGCCCCUUUUCUGAUGGUGACUGGCAGAAGAAAAAUAAUUUAAAUCAAUUAAAUGAAGGAAGUAACUCAAAAGGUCCCCUGUACAUCGCAUGCCUCUGCGGUUAAUAUUUAUCCAGGUAAAAUGCUCAAUUACAAGCUUUGUUCAAACACCUGCAAACAAAAUUGCCAGAAAAUUCAUCAGUAACUACCCAGAAGAAACUACUAUAGAAAUCUAAGAAGAAAUGAAAAGUGUCUACAUUGAUUUUGUCCAGUGACCUUAUCUAUGCAGUUGCUUAGACUAACAGCUGUCUAUUACAUGUGAUGACCAUUAACAUGCCUUCCUUAUGCAAAAUCACCUUCAAUUUAACUCCAAGAACAUUUUCAAAUAAAAUUAAUAAUCAGAUUACCUCAUGGUAGCACUGGUGGCGAGUUCAAUCCAGAUAUGUCAACUUGGAUCUUUUAGAAACACUAGUAGGGUAAAGAGCAUCAAGUCCCACCAGACAUUCCCCGAUGGUUGAUGUCCAUUGACACAACCAAAUUUGAUAUAAUCUUCUAACUUUAUAAUUUAGUUCCAAGAUCAUUUGACAGCUGUAAUAUUCCACGCAUUUGGAGGUAAGGAUUCUCCAGGAGUUUUUCAUUGUUGCACUAUUUUUUUUCGAGAAAAAGACAAAGAUGUUAGUGAAUAUGUUUAUUAAUGCAAACAAGAUCAUAUGUACAAAUAUAUUUCUCUUUAGAAAUGAGUUUAGGCAACAUGUGAAAGAGUUACAACCUGUUGUGCUUUAAUAAUGAGGCUUUGAAGCAUGCGUUGGUAAUUCUCGGGCUCCUCUGUCAUCAUUCUCUGUGAACCAAAGCAGAAACAGUAAAUAUCGUACAGGCGAUCACAUAAAAUUGGUUAAAUUGUAAGGAGAGGAGAUGAUUGUGAGAGAAGGAGAAGGCAUACUUUCAACAGAAAAGCAGCAGAGUAAUAUGCUACCCUUGAGUCUGUAUCAUCUAAAAGUCCUCUGUCAACAUUGAACAAGCACAUCAAUGUCAAGCAUAUCCAAAAGACUGGUAAAGUGUAACGCAUAGCAUGGGUGGGCAAAAGUACCUGAAAAACUCCUUGCCUUCAACUUCUAGAAAAGCUUCUUGAUCAGCAAUGCAUUUACCAAUUAAAAGUAAAAGAAGAGCAGCCCGUAUAUCUGAUGUAGCGCCAGGUAGAUUCCCUCUUCCUUUGCUGCCAACAGCAACACCUAGUGCAAUAUCAUCAGUCACUGCACCAGCAAGUUGUAUUAAGGGCCAGUAGAACAAUGAUGUUGGAACACGAGCCACUAGCUGCAUAGGAGCUAUAGCUUGUCCUCGCAAAAGCAAUGCUGCCAUUGAUGCUGUCUUACAUAUUGGAGUGUCUUGACCAGUGCCCUGACUGGUGCUAACAUUUUGUGGCAGCUCAUCUUUGCAAUCAUUAUUCUGAAGUGUUUCUUGUGACACACGAGCUUCCAUGUCACCUUUGCAAAUUUCAGUUGUACACCCAAAAAGAUGGCUGAGGCUUUUAAGAUUCCCAGAAGGCAUUUCAUUUGCAGUUUGAAGCCUCAGACAUAACUGAGAAAAUAACAUGUCACACAUCUGCAUACAAGGAAGUUUAAAUCAGAGAAGAGAAACACUGAAGAAAGAACGAAGGCUACAGAAAUGUUUUGGUAUACCUCCUCUUAGAAAGUCGUUAAACUCAAACAUUUGGUCAAACAAAUUUGAAGAGAAAUGCUGUUCUACAAAAAACAUUUUGAGGUUUAAAAUCUAGAGCGUAAUUACCUAGUGCUUGAAGAUAGAAUGAGUCAUUUUAAACAAAUUAUACUAAAAAAAAUAACUAAUACAAACAGAAGUACACAAGGAAAAAAUCUUGCAUAUUACAAGUUCAAAUCAAAUCAGCAGUAAAUAUCCAUUUCGACAAAAAGGAUGAGUUUUCUAAAUACAAUUGUAGAAUCAGGAAGCAAAGACUGCAAAACCAGGUCGAUACCCAUCAUCAGCAUAUCCUUGUUAUGCCAAGAUUUUAAUCACUGGUUUUGGUGAAGGCAUUGCUAAAGCAUAAAAAGCAAUAAAUUAAAAUAACUCAAUACUUCUAAAACAAAUUCUAAGAAGAGAUUGUGGCAAGAAAUCUUUAAAAUGAGCAAGACAGGUCUACAUUAAAAAAUCUGACAGCAAAUGUCAUUAAGGUAUAGAAGUAAAACAUCACAAAUUACCUUCAAGAUGUUGAUAUAGUCAGUCUCAUUAAUUUGAACCACCAGUGAUAAAGCAGUGGUCAUUAUGUCUAUAACUGCAUUUGCUUUGUCCAAACGGUUUUCACUACAAUCAACACCUUCAUGGUUUACAUGCUGCAUCUCACUUUCAUCAAGCAAUAAUUUGCAUCGCAUGAGAAGUUUCUCCAAAACAUAAAGAAAGCCCCAUCUGAUAAAGUUGUGUUUUGACUUCAAAAGCCCACACGUUAUAGAGAUAGGCAGUGGAACUUCUGGACAAGUUGAAUCUUGAUUGCCAGUGACACCAAUUUGCUGCUGCAAUUUUCUAAUGUUUGACCAUAUACUCCUAUCAUUAUCCUCACUGAUUUCUGAAAGAAGCAAUUCGACUAGACAUAUAUACCCAUGAUGGCGGUAAGCAUAUCUAUCUGAGUGAAGAAGUGAGUGUAAAGUAGCCCAAGAAAGUCUAGCUUUUGUACCAAUAUCAGCUUCUCCAAGUCCAUUCUCAAUACUCUUAAUGGACUUGUAAGAUUUUGUUAUUCGAAUCAUAUACAAAAAUUCAUUAUCCAAUCUGGUGAAUGUGCCUAUAGUUGCAUCAAGUUUCUUUGUGAUCUUGUCCAAGAGCUACACAUAAGAAAAGGAUCCAAUAGAUUAUAUCAAUGACAUGGGAAGCAGUAAUAAAGUGCAGAAAUUAGUUUUUUGCGCCAUCAUAUCUUUAACCUGAUUCACAUGCUCAAAAUAGACUGUAAGUGCUGCAUGAAACAUCUGGUUGCACAAGUGAACACAGAACACAGCAUUUAUAUUUAUGAAAAGGAAUCACAUGUCAUCAGUUACAAGAAUAUUGCUUAAAGACCAAGUGUAACAGAAGGGUCUCAUCCAUUAUCAUUUUCAACUGUGUAAUGUAAUGCUUGCACCUUUUUGGAUUACUACAGACUUUUGUAGGGCAAGAACUCAAACUCAAAAUUCCUAAUAUUCAGAUAACAGUGAUUGGUGAUGCCAUGGUAACACUGGAAUAAAACAUGAAUCAAAAGUGGACACCUAGAGAGUAUUUGAUAGACAGUUUUACAGGUAAACAGAGUGAAAAUCAAAUUGCAAUAGCUCUCAGGCUGACUCCUGAAUAUUGACCAAGUGAUUCUCUCAUUGCAUGGGUGGCUUUGAGUAAGCUUGUCAGCAUCUUUGUUCAGACUAGAGGAUUAUGGAAGAUCAAGGAUUGCUAUCUAGCAUAUGAGAAGUACAGAAAUACAAGGGCUGUACAUCGCUUUUAAAAAUUGAGUAACCUGCUAAAAUAAACACUAGAACCAACUCUAACUCCCGAUUUUUGUGCUUGUAGCCUCAACAGCCUAUGGACAAGCAAACUCAAAUAGAAUUUUAUUUUGUUCAUCCAAACAUGUUAUUUUGGAUUGUUUGUUCAUAUAUUUCCAAAUGCAUUCUUUGCUUUGAAUAAUAAGAUAUAAUAAUAUUCACUGGGAGAAAAUUACCAAAUUUUGGCGUUCAUAGUUCGGUGAGUUUGAUAAGGCUGCAGAGAUAGAUCUUUUCAAAAUCUCUCCAAUGCCUUCCACGCCAUGCUUAACAGCAAUAUAAAAGGCUUCAGGUGCAUCUGCAAGCGUAAGCAUGGAAGCAACAGGUUGAAUCUCAUCAUAGGCAUAGGCAGAAUUUCCACCAGCCAAACAAGCUUCAUUUAUCUGAUGCACAACAUAGUCAAAGAGAACCAGAAAUAAAUCGCGCUUUUCUUCCCUUGAGUUGGCCCGUGAGUACUGCAAAGUAAAAUGAGAUAAGUUGCCUUCCUGGACAACUAUAGGUAAAUCUUGAACCAAGAAAUAAACAUCAUUAUUUUACCGAACAGCUCCUUCAAAAAUAUACUCAAAGAAAGCAACAUUAGGCCACAGGAGGAAAAAAGAAUGCAGUAGAGCAUAAACGUAUUGGAAGCUAAAUUAUGACUUAUUUCCCCAAAUGUUACCAGGGCACCAGUAUUAUGACUAAAUUUUAAGUUAACAGAACUUUUGAACGGUGAAGGAAUUUUUUUUUUGUGGUAGAAACUGUUCAGGAAUUUCAAUGUUGCCAAAAUCAUGACUUGAUUUUAUAAAUCAUAUCUCAACAUCAAUUCUCUAUAUUUUAACUCAAAUGUUUCACUUUAAAGCACUAGUCAAUUCAAAUAAGAAAAUCUAACCCAAAUGAAGUAAGAACUGUUCAUAAGUAUUUCGAAAUACAGGCAAUUGUUUGAAAGAUGAAUAACUUAGAGCACACCUCAAGACAUAUGAAGUCAAUUCCGCCAAGAUGAUCAACUUGUUCAGCAAAAAAAGUUGGAGUAACUGAAGAAGCUUGCAUAGCUCCAUUUGGAGUUUGAUAGAACAUGUUUGCCAACAUGCAGAUGAGCUUGCAAUGAACUACUUCUGCCCAUGAAUGUUCAUCGCUGAUCUCUACAAGGGUCUUAACAACCUGUAAGUGAAAGAAUACAACAGAAAGGCAAAAAUAGAUGAGUGAUACUCCUAAACAAAAAUGUAACAAUUCACCAGGCAGAGAUCAAUUCAAUGCACCAUGAGAGGAUACCGGGAAGAAAGACUUCUUUAAAUGGUUUGAUCAAAACCUAGUCUUAAGCCCUAAAUCAAAUCUAUACCAUGGUUCACCCAACUGCAUGCCGUAUUCUAAACUACUAAGGUAGAGCGGUAACUCCGUUCUUUACAAAAUGCACAUGGCUUGUCCAUCACAUAUAUUAAUCCUUCAACCAUUCCCCAUCUCCCCCCUAUGAUUCCAAUUCUCUGCAUUUAUAGUUGAUUAAUAGCAUAUGAAUACCGGUGGAAAAGCAUAUAAUGCAUUCAUAAAAAGUAAGUGAUGAGAGGAUGAGCCUUGGUGCAAUAGUAAAGUUGCUCCAUUGUGGCCUGGAGGUCACGGGUCUAAAACAAGUAAACAGCCUCUCCGCAUGCGGGGGUAAAGGUGCAUCUGACCCUCCCCAGACUUUGCAAUGAGAGAGCCUCAUGCACUGGGUUGCCACUUUUUUAUAAAAAGUAAGCCAUGGUUUAUCAGCUAGAAGCAAACUUCUAGAGUGCAACAUAUUCAUGACGAACUGAUGGGGUCACAUGGUGUAUUUCAUUAAACAGAAAGUGAAUCAUAACAUGAUAAUACUCCACAUGUAUAAUAGUAGCAUAUGGACUGGUUGAGUCUGGCAAAAUUGAGGUGGUAAGGUGGAUCCAUGGUAAAACUAGUGAAAUGCAAUAAGAUAAUGUGCAUGCAAAGAAGCCUGAGCAGCCAUAAUGCAAGAUGAAGUGGUCAACACAAACAUCUCAAAAACGUGGAACAAAUUCUAGGGACAUCCUAGUUUUGGGAAAAGGAAAGCAUAUACAGGAACGGUAAAAAAAUGCUUGAAAUAUUCUAUGACAUUUGACAAUGUAUGGCAAUGAAUGACUAGACAUAAUCCAUAAAGCAAAACUAUACAAGGCAUGAUUGGAGGGCUGCUCCUUGUGCAUUUUAGAGCAAUUUAGUUCUAUGCAUUCAAGCUAGCUUUUUGAGCUGCUUGGAUUUGCCAUUUCUCAAGCCAAGCCCAAGGUUAGACCAGAAAUUGUCAGGGAAGGAAUGUUUAGGCUCAUUUCAACUAUAAGCUAAGCAUUAAAAUGAGUUCCUAACAGAGCUUGUUCUGGGCUGAAUGAAACAGUUAUAGAGCCAAGUCCAUGCUGUACAUGAAACACACAAUUCACUUGCAGCCUUACACAGUGGCAUGAUGCGAAGACUUCAUAUUCGAAUAUGUCCAGUCCAAGCAGAUCAAUGGCACGCCUUUGCACAUUUAUAAUGUGAAUCCAUGGUUAAUCAAGUUAGAAAAGGCCAAGAAAUUAUAUCCUAGUCAAAUUAAGUAUUUAAAUUGUUAAAGAAUUGUCAAAUUGUUAUCAUAGAGCUAAUGUUUUCAAAUCUAUCUUAAUUUAAGUCAUGCUUAAUUUGCAACCUGCUUCAAGGUCUUCCCUGUAACUUGGCUACUCAUUUUUGCCUUUCAAUAACAUAUUCUCCAUGCACCUUGUUCUCUCCAAUUGUUGACAAAUUAGCCAAUUUCAACUUCCACUGCAAUAAAGAGUUCUGCCCUGACCAUUUUAAGUCCUGAACCCUUGCUAUGCGACAGUACUUGCAAGUUAUAGCACGACCAUCUCAUCACAAGCAUUGUCCCAGUCAAUAUUUGAAUCUCUUCAUUGUGGAUGCAAUAACUACUACUUGCAAAGGAAAAUGAAAGUGCAUCAUAUUGCCUUCCUUCUCAAAUAAGUGCUUUUCUAUUCCACUAUAAGAGAAACUUGAAACUGAUGUGAAGUGCAUUGUUGACUAGACUUGCAGACCUAAUAAUAAGCAUAAGAAUGCAAGCAGCUGCAUCCAAUGUUCUAGAACACAUUAGAAUUGCUUAUCAAACCAUAAUUUGAAAGAAAUUACCAUAGCCUCUAAGCAAAAGAUAUGACCACGAACUAAUGUAAUAUUUGGAGAAAAAAAGUAGUAGAAAGCUUGGCAUCUCACCCUUAUGUCAAGACCUUCCAACCUGCUCCUUAAUAUUUUUCCUCUAUCACAAACAAAGUAAAAUAGACAGCUUAGAGCAGAUGCCCAUACAAUUUCUUCCCUUUCUUCUGUCUGCAAAUAGUCAAUCGGACAUAUUACAAAAUCCAAAACAAAGACAAUAUUAGUUAACGAGCUAGAUUAGAGCAGAUCUUGAAACAUCAAAAGGAACAGAGGAGCAAGAAACAAUGACAGAUCUGUCCAAAAGUUUCUUUAGUGAAGAAGAACCAAUUCAUGUGAAAAAACAAAAAUCUUUUAGGCAAUUCAUGACACUUUAUCUGUCAAUCAAGAUUCUGUUCUAUCUACUAAAGCAUUGUUGGGAACACAAUGUGCAAAGUUGUGCAGAAAGUAUAACUCGCAAUCUCGUAAGAAAGUUCCAAUAAAAAUUCCAGAAGUGCUGGCUUCUUUUUUUUCCUUUAAGAAAAAGUAGGAACAGCAGCCAACAAGACAAAAAUACAAAAAUAGAAGAAAACAGAUUGUAAAACACUUAGUGUCAGAAAACAAGUAAAUUUAACCCUGUCGAAAGCUUUAAGGUCAUUGUUGUAAGCAUGAUUAAAAUACUUAAAGCUGCUAAAUUAAGCACAUAGUUGUCAGACAGAACUCAGGCAGCACUGACCUUGCAUUCCCAAGGUUACCUUACUAAGACAAGUUGGUGAAGAAGAGAGAGAAGAAAACAUGGAGAGAGGGAGAAGAUAAAGGGUUAAAGAUAUGAUUUUCUUCUCGCCACUAUCACUAGAGGAAUAACAAUGUUUUAAGAAAAAUAAAGACUUACACCAUCAAUUCACCACUUCUAGUAAAAAAUUACAACUCAGCACCUCAUGCCAAAGCUUCUCUUGGGUCUUCUCUCUACACCAUCGCCUACCAAUCAUAAUGACCCUAGUGUACUAUUUGAUUUGCAGGAAAAUAAAGAUUCAUUCUCUGUGCCAACUUCAGCUGCAGGACUAUAUGUAAAGAUGGCUAUUCAUCCUCCUAAUCAAGGAGUUAAACAGGGGACCUAUCUAUUUAAAGUUGGGAUCCAUGAUUCACCAUUAGUAGGAUGUCAUUUGGAUUUGAUUGCAUAUAGGGAGUGAAAAAGAGAAGAGAAACAGGGCAUGAGAAAAAGAGUGUCUUGAAUGAAUGUUAGAUGAAAUUAAUGGAGACUUCUAUUGAAGCUAAAUGCAGGAGGGAGGGAUCUACACAUAUUUUGGAGUUUGAAUUGUCAAGAUAGUCUUAAUUAAGGCCAAAAUGUCUGAUCGGUGAAAAUUAUUCAUGCUUUAGUCAACAUCCCAAUACAUAGCUUUAGUUAUUUGUUCUGUUUUAACUUUUAAGAAUAGGGGCACUCUUGGAACUAAAGUGUAAAAGCUGGGAAAUAUUUCACAUGCAUGACAAGUAAUAUUGUGCAUGUGCAUGUACAUGUGUGUAUAUACUUGUGGAUGUCUAUGCGUGAUGAUCGUAGCGAGGGUCAUGUAAGGCAUACUAAGAACUGUCUAUUGCCUAGGCAUUUGCAUGGGUAGUUGGCCAGGAUCCUUGGGGGGCUGCACUUAACAAUGAACGAGCAAGUCUAGUCCAUCUGAACCAACUGCAGCAAUUCUUCGACGUUGCAAUAAAAAAAAUCAUAGAUGAAAUGGAGACAAGUUCAACAAAAUCCUCCAAAGGAUCAUAACUAACAGAAAUGAUAUUCAAACCGGCAAUCACCUGAACAAGAAGGCGAAGAAUCUCAAAUAAUAUGGCCAAAAGCCAUGACUCAAAAUUAUCAACAGCUGAAGCCAUCCUCCGCUGCAUAUUGGACUCUGUAGCCAUCUUUCCCUGUGUCCCCCGUUGUUCUUCAAUGGUCAAAGGAGGCUCUUGUAAAGGUUCAGCUUCAUCAAUUGGUGGAGGAUCUUCAUGUAACAUAGGCUCCAGUAAUUGUGCAUGGACACCAAGGUUUAAAAUUAAAUCAAAAGCCCGGAUCCUAGAAGCAAUUCUCUGAGAGCUAAGCAUACCCUGAAAGGUAAAAAAUAAAAAAACAAAAUCAGGAAAACCACCUAUGUUAUCCCUCAAGGAAGUCAUGAACCAAAGCAUGGCACCUCUAACAUAUAAAGAGUUAGCGGGGCAGCAAUUCCAGGAUCCAUCACAUACCUACAAAAAGAGAUUAUAUUCAUAUUAAACUCAUCCUAAUAAUACAACAAAAAACAAAGGAGAUUAAAAAAAAGAGGUCAGCAUAGAUGGAAUGCUUGUCAACUGUCUUUAGUCUUGCAUGAGAUUGCAAGUGGAAAGCUUCAUAAAGCUAACGACUUGUUAAAUAAUAAAUAUUACAAAAUAUUAGAUUGUCCAUUCAACUUUUUUCAGUAACUACAACUUCCAAGAAGGCUAGAAAAGUUCCAAUUAAGAAAGGGUCAAAACAUAAAAGUUGGAGGUGAUAUUUGAAAUAGAGGCUAUGGUGGUGAUGAGAGGAGUCAUGUAAAAUUUAUUGGUUUUUAUAUAAAAAAGAAUUCUACUAAAUUGAGGAAGGUCAAAUUGGAUAGAAGUUUGAAAGUUGAUGGAAAAGAUUAUCAGGUAUCUAUUUUUAUCCCGUGCUCAUUUUUAGGAUAAAUUAAUUGGAAAUGUGCAUGCAGAGAAUGAAACAAAAAGAUUAACACUGAACAAGAGUUGAAGAGAUAGUAAAAUACUGCAUGGUAAAAUACUAGUUGUUGAUUUAUAAUGCAAAAAUGGAUGUUAUGCAUUCAAUAGUGGUGAUUUUUCUAUCACAAGAGAUCUAGUAAUUAACCAGUGAUUAUGAAUGAAGUCUAUUGAUGCAAAUUAAAAUAUAGACAGUCAUGGUAGUUAAGGGUCAUAGAUAAAUAUAAUGCAGAAAAGUAAAAAUAAUAUUUGAAUAUAACAAAUCAGUGGCUUUUGUAUAGGCCCAACACCACAACAUUUCUGUUAUAAAUCUCAACUAGUUUAGCCACCAUAAUACUCGAAUAUAGAUUAAGUGUAAGUAAAGGAUAAAACUAAGAGAUUGGGUCAUUUUAGGAUAGGUUUUUGGUAUUCUGCCUGAUUUAGCUGUCUUGGUUUACCUUAGUUUUGUUGCGAAACAUCAUCAUUGUUGGUAGUUGCUUGACAGUUGAUGAUGCCUAUCACCUCUCCCAAGGAUAGAAGCCAUCAUCAACUCAACUAACAGCUUUUAUUUCGAAAUGAAGGACACCACAGGAAUGUCCUAUUCAUGAAGUCAGCAUAUAUAAGCUGCUAGUGCAAGGGACUCCAUUAAGAACAUCGACAUUUGAAAUUGUAAUGUCAAAAGGCAACCAAUGGUAUUUAAAAUUGAUUAGGUAUCCCAUCAAGUAAUUAAGGCAUACUUAAGGUCCAGAUUGCCUAUAAACAUGCCCAGCAAGCAUGUGAUUUUACGACAAGCGUUCUCAUUCGAGAAUCUUAUUGAGCUCGGUGAAAAAUUCCUACUCUGCUUCAGCAACCACACAUCACUUACCUCUUUGACGAUGUAAGCUAAUACAUUAAUGAAACAUAAUUUUAUUAAUACCAAACAACCAGGAUAAGAGCUGGCUCUACAGCAUUUUCAGAUGGAUAAGUUUCUUUAGGUUAACAAACCAAACCUGAACAGAAGGCAUACAACUUGUUGCCUUUUUAUCAUAUAGCAGGCUUUGCUCAUUAAUAUUUUAAGGGCCUCUUUCUCUGAUGAAAGCUAAGCUCAGCAAUUAAUUAGGUGCACUUACCUCAACUUCUAUAAAACAGGGUGUUAA